UUCCAGACUCCUACGGGAGGCAGCAGUGAGGAAUAUUGGUCAAUGGCCGAGAGGCUGAACCAGCCAAGUCGCGUGAGGGAAGACGGCCCUACGGGUUGUAAACUUCUUUUGUCGGGGAGCAAAGAGAGUCACGUGUGACUCAUUGAGAGUACCCGAAGAAAAAGCAUCGGCUAACUCCGUGCCAGCAGCCGCGGUAAUACGGAGGAUGCGAGCGUUAUCCGGAUUUAUUGGGUUUAAAGGGUGCGUAGGCGGAGUGUCAAGUCAGCGGUAAAAUUUCGGGGCUCAACCCCGUCGUGCCGUUGAAACUGACGCCCUUGAGUGCGCGAGAAAUAUGCGGAAUGCGUGGUGUAGCGGUGAAAUGCAUAGAUAUCACGCAGAACUCCGAUUGCGAAGGCAGCAUACCGGCGCGCAACUGACGCUCAUGCACGAAAGCGUGGGUAUCGAACAGGAUUAGAUACCCCAGUA
rnacentral:rRNA from 1 species